rnacentral:rRNA from 1 species
AUUGAACGCUGGCGGCAGGCCUAACACAUGCAAGUCGAACGAGUGGCGGACGGGUGAGUAAUGUCUGGGAAACUGCCCGAUGGAGGGGGAUACCUACUGGAAACGGUAGCUAAUCCCGCAUACCAUCGGAUGUGCCCAGAUGCGAUUAGCUUGUAGGUGAGGUAACGGCUCACCUAGGCGACGAUCCCUAGCUGGUCUGCGAGGUUGACCCGCCACACUGGAACUGAGACACGGUCCAGACCCCUAGGGGGGGCAGCAGUGGGGAAUAUUGCACAAUGGGCGAAAGCCGGAUGCGGCCAUGCCGGGUGUAUGAAGAAGGCCUGGGGGUUGUAAAGUACUUUCAGCGGGGAGGCGUUACCCGCAGAAGAAGCACCGGCUAACUCCGUGCCAGCAGCCGCGGUAAUC